rnacentral:lncRNA from 1 species
AUGGACGGAUGGACAGACGGACGGAUGAAUGGAGUACUUGAUUUGGAGUGGCUUCUCCUAAGCGGCCUGGGGUGGCCAGGUCAGGUGCAGAGUCCACAGGGCGGGGAGACUUACCAAUUGCCACAAUCACCCAUGUGGCCCAGGACAGGUCAGAACUUAGCCGCCGCUCUGGUCUUUGCAAACAGCACGAGAGGGAGGGACCUGAGCCCCUUCUGCGUGGUGGAGCCUGCAGCCUGGAGAGCGUUAGUGGUCGGCCUGGGUCCUCCGGGGGUCGUUGUCAUUAACGGAGAUGUACUGGAAGGUUCCAGAGGAAACGUGGCAGAACCAUAUGCAGAGCUAAUCCCACGCGCACGUUCUCAGAUCACCAGCUCCUCCAACAUCUGCCCGCCACAAGUGCCACUCGCCCAACCAGCACCCCGAGACGGUGUCGUCUGUUCCGGGCCGUGCCCGGCCACCCCUGGCUCUUCAGAUGAGCGUGGCCGAGAGAGCUCUUCUGCUUUCCUGUCUGGAUAA